rnacentral:lncRNA from 1 species
AGGGGAUGGAGCAGCCACACGGGGCUGACGCUGCCUCUGAGCAGCAAGCAGUCCAGGUCACAGGCUUCUCCUCCUCUCCUGGGACCGGUGCUGGUCAGCACCCAUCAGGGUUUAGAGAACGUUCUGAGCUUUCAACAGUUCUGUGAGGUGACUGCUGGGGAACCAUUGCUGAGUGGGACAAGGGAGACACACAGAAACGCAAGUGAGCGUUUGAAGUCAGGGUGCUUGCUGCGUUCUUCUAAGUCACCUGCUCUCUGUGUGGGGCCAUGUGAGGCCUCAGCGUCCCCUAAUGAGGGCAAUGCACCCUCUGGAUGGGCACCCUUCUGCUUCUGCUCCACUGGUACACCCCAAACAAAUGCUUUCUCUCAGG